UAAAUUAUAGCUAUAAAUAAGUAUUUUAUUUACAUUAAAAUGAAAGAUGAAUCUUAAUUUAA
rnacentral:tRNA from 1 species